rnacentral:ncRNA from 1 species
UUUCUCGCAGGAUAGCUGAAGCAUGUAAUGAAGCUGUUAUAUUCGAUAAAAUGAAUGACUAGAUGGACGAAAUGUUUUGAGUAUGGCGUCUUGCUUGUUUCAAUGAAGCGUAGAGAUUAAAUGUGUGUCCAACUAGGCUUUUUUUGAUAAACGAAACUGGCGCUGUGAGAUGAACCA